rnacentral:rRNA from 1 species
UACGUAGGGUGCGAGCGUUGUCCGGAAUUAUUGGGCGUAAAGAGCUCGUAGGCGGCCAGUUGCGUCUGCUGUGAAAUCCCGGGGCUCAACCCCGGGCGUGCAGUGGAUACGGGCUGGCUAGAGGCAGGCAGGGGAGAACGGAAUUCCCGGUGUAGUGGUGGAAUGCGUAGAUAUCGGGAGGAACACCAGUGGCGAAGGCGGUUGCCUAGGGCUUUGCUGACGCUGAUGCGCGAAAGCGUGGGGAGCGAUCCGG